rnacentral:rRNA from 1 species
GCGAACGCUGGCGGCGUGCCUAAUACAUUCAAGUCGCACGCAUUUUCUUUCACCGUUGCUUGCUACACCUAAAGAAAAUGCGUGUCGAACGGGUGAGUAACACGUGGGUAACCUGCCCAUCAGCGUGGGAUAACACUUGGAUACAGGUGCUAAUACCGCUUAAUUCCAUUUACCGCUUGUUAGAUAGAUUAAUGGCGCUUUUGCGUCACUGAUGCAUGGACCCGAGGUGCAUUAGCUAGUUGGUGGGGUAACGGCCUACCAAUGCUGCGAUGCAUAGCCGAGCGGAGAGGGUGGUCGGCCAAAAUGGGAAUGAGAAAAGGGACAGAAUCCUAAGGGAGGCAGCAAGAGGGAAACGUCGGCAAUGGAGGGAAGGCGGAACGAGCAAAGCCGGGUGAGUGAAGAAGGUUUUCGGAUCGGAAAAAUCUGUUGUUAGAGAAGAAAAAGGAUGAGAGUGGAAAGUUCAUCCCUUGACGGUAUCUAACCAGAAAGCCACGGCUAACUACGUG